AUCGCUAAAUAGAGCCCAAUAGAGAGAGCGACGAGUGGUGUUUCAGGAAAAAUAAAGAGAGAGAGACGAGUGUCGUCUUCACCAAAAUCGACACAAAAAUUUAGGGUUCAUGUCCUUUUUUGAUCUCUAACACCAGAAAUAUUCUGCUUCGUUCUCUAAUACCAACAAUGGAGUCUUGAGGUGUUCAAUCGAUGUGAAGAAUCGCUGUGUGAAUCUUCAGUCGUGACGUUUUACCUUUUGUAUAAAUCAAUCGAGACGUUAUGAGGUGUUGUAUUGAUUCAUCGACUUUAUCAUACUUCUUAACUCUAUCAACCCACGUCGAGCACGAUCUAACAUUGAAUGGAGCUUAUCCCUUUUGCAAGGCGGUGUCUCUACACCUAUAAAAAAUAAGUCCUCUUACCUUGAACAUUAUCCUCUCAAAGUUGUGGAUGUCAUAAAAAAUAUUUCCAUAAAAAUGGCUAACUCCUCUUUCGAUGGUUUCUGGGUUUAGAUCCUUGGUUGAUGGGUUGAGUAUCUGACUGAAGUUGAUUUAAAGUUUCGUUCUUAUUAGAAGAUUAGGGUCUGUUGGUUUAUCAAUUUACUUAAUGUGAAAUGUUAAAGUGUUAUCUGUAUAUGGAGGGGAGCUAAUAUAGUUUAUUUUUUUAGUAGGCUGAGCUACGUACGAAUGUGUUUUAGGCAAAAAAAAUUGAAAAAGGUAUUCAUGUGUUUUAGGAAAUUGAAGAAUAAAGAUGAGGAUGGAGUAGUUGAGAAUAAUGAAGGUCUGCCUCAGGCUUUGUAGGGAAGCUGCAAUGAUUGUCCAGGCUUCUUCUUCAGGAAAAAAGGAAUGAACGACUGUGUUUAAGUAUGUUCUGUUUGUAAAAAUUAGAUUGUUUCUUUCCAAGUAUUUGUAAAUGGAGGGAUGAAACUUGCGGUUGUUCUUUGCAGUGAUGGUAAGAUGGGCUACUUGACUCCAUUAGAUUGUUUCUUACAGUUCCGUCUUUUGGCAUAGCCAACUACUUUGCAGGAUUCUUCAUCUUCUUAUACAUUGUUGUACCUAUCUUUUACUGGAGUAAUACUUAUGAUGCACAAAUGUUUCCGUUCUAUACUUCGCAAACCUUAGAUCAUGCUGGACAUACCGAGAAAGACUUUGAUAUCAAUCUAGAUGCGUACAAGGGUUACAGCAAGCUCUAUGUGAGUUUGAUGUUUGCGUUGCUCUAUGGACUUAGCUUUGGAACGUAAGAAGCUUCUUUUUUUGCUACCAUCUCUCAUGUGACCCUCUAUGAUGGAACGUUUAUAUGGGGAAUGUGGAAGAAGAACUAUCAAGCAGUACCUCUGAUCCAGAUCAGAGGUUUCUUCUAACUUUUAAUGCCUCAGCUUCCUAAUCUCUCGCUCUCUCUCGCUUUUCUUCUCCUGCCAUCAGCUGCUCUUCCUUUUCAUCCUCCUCUCUCCAUAUUAGUGCUGAUUGAGUUUGCCAUCUCUGGCAAGUGGCAACCAUGCAACAACGUAUACGCCGAGAUUAUGUUUUGGCUUUCUAGGCGAAGAAGAUUUCCUUCUGGUGUUUGGUCUCAGAGGGAACAUGAUGGAAAGUAUGUCCUCAACUCCUCGAAUGAUAAUUUGAUGAUAUCUAGAAGCUACAACAUAUAACAGUAUACUUGAAGACCAUUGUAUUCUGGAGAAGAUAUCAUUUGUAAUGGUUAACUUUUGCAGCAUUUUUAAUAGAAUUUGUGAAAUCUAGCUGUUAUCGAACUUGAACAAAUAUUUGGAAUAAAAUGUGGUGAUUCAUCUUA